rnacentral:tRNA from 1 species
AAGACAUUAGUAAAAUGCAAAUUACACCACCUUGUCAAGGUGGAGUUGUAGGUUAAAUCCCUGCAUGUCUUA